GGUGCUGAACCUUUUCCCUAAAAAAUCCCUGACCAGCUGCAGUUGUCAUGGAUAUUAAAAAUACUCAUUAACUCACUGACAUUAAAUAAUGCUGAAUAAAUACUGAAACUGAUGUUUGACUAUUAAAAUAUCCUAGCAGUUCAAGACCUUGAGGUUCAUCAGAUUUUAGCUUUGUCAACCUGGCCACUCUGUUAUUAAUACACAACACACCAUCAUCAUACACAACACAGAAAAAUAAUGGCUUAUUUAAAUAAUUUCAGGU